AGUCGCUUCGUCUAGUGGUUAGGAUGUGUGCUUUACACGAUUAUAGUAUUCUUACUAUGCGAGUUUUCUCAAAAUCUGUACGCACAAGAUCGCCGGUUCGAACCCGGCAGCGACUA